rnacentral:lncRNA from 1 species
CAAAGCGAACAAUAUUGUGCUAUGGCGGAGCCGAUCUCGGGAUGUGACAAUUUGGUAUCAAAGCCACUCUAUCGUGUGGUGCGAGGGUGCCGGGGAGGACGUCGGGCCCCUAAGGGGGGUGGAUUGUAACAUCUCACAUUGACCAACAGAGAGGGGGUGAUGUGCCUUAUGUAUACAUGUUCGCCUCCAUCUAGCACGAGGCCUUUUGGGAGCUCACUGGCUUCGGAGCCAUGGGAACUCCGAAGUUAAGCAAGUUGGGGGCUAGAGCAAUCCCAGUAUUAGUGACCCAUUGGGAAGUUACUUGUAAGCUCCCAAAAAUAAAACCGUGAUGGCAGAGAAUGGGGCUCAAAGUGGACAAUAUUGUGCUACGGUGGAGUCGAUCCCAGGAUGUGACAGCAAUACUCACCUUUUCAUUGUUGAAUCCAAAUAUAACAAUAUUGCCAAUCCAGUCACAAUUGCAAAAGCUUAUUUUCCCCCAAAUUGCCAUUUUAUUCCUCAAGCUCCUUACAAAUCCCUUAAAUACUAUAGAGAUAUCCUUCAUGAGACCCAAUC